UGAGGCAUCUGAUCAAAAUCUGCUUUGAGCUUAAAAAAUUAUAUUUGUAAAUAUAUUUUUCUCUCAUGCAAGGGAGAAGAGCAGCUGAAUACUCUGGCAGCUGUUCAAGGGCCCCACUGCUAUAAAUAAAAGUAUUUCAAGGUUGUAAAAGGAAAUUAGAGCCAGAGAGCAAAAGGUCACACUGACCAGAAUACAAUCAAGCUGUAAAAACACAAUUAAGAACUGGUAAAUAGUGAAAUUUAUUGUUUAACAGAAGACUCGAGCCAUAAGGUUAAAGGUUAAAUGGAAGAGGUUGCUCUUAGAAACAGCUGCUGGUUAGGGAAAAAGGCCUCUCUCCAAACUGUUUUGAAGCUUCAGAGAAUUUACUAAGUUCCUUCUAAUUUGAAAAGGCCUUUCCUUCUAAAAAUCUAUCUAUGUUAUGUAUGAAAUAUAUUGGCUUAAAUGUGAUUAUGCAAAGGAUUUAGAAAGUAAGAAAUGUUAGAUUCUUAUGUUAGAUUCCUAUUAUGGUGGGUGAGAAGGUGAACUCAAGAUCUCUUUAAGAU